rnacentral:lncRNA from 1 species
CCUCUCUCUUGUUUGCAUGUGAAUGUUUAGUGUAUCUUACAUGAAGAUAUCCUUCAAGUUGAAAUUUCUCAUUUUUCUUUCUUGAAGGAAGGUCAUUAGUUUCUUUAAGAUACAAAGCAUUCAUCCAACAUAUAUAUAUUUUUAAUUAGAUGACUCAAUAUGAGAUAUGACAAUAGUUGCAUGUUGAGUCACUUUACUCAAGAGAUUGCCUAAAUAUAAGCAAGCACAUAUCAUUUGAACUAAAGAGAUAGUUUCAUUAAACAAGAUGGUUCAAGGACAAGCAUAUGAGGCAAUAGGAAGAUCUAUCAAGGUUAAAUCAAUUUCUUAUUUUCAAAAUCAGUUUAGUUUAGAUUCUAUUUGCUUAAGAUAAAUAUCAAUAAGAUAUUUUAGCUAAGUUUUAAUCAACUUUAUCUUAAACAGUUGUUUCUAUCAAAAAAUUCAGAUUAUGAUUUAUUUGUUAUCAAUAAAAUAUGAUUCAUUAAAGUUGAAUUGAAGUCUUGCACAAGGUCACAUAAUGAGCAUACAACCUGGUCUACUAGCUGUAUGAUAAAAUAAUCAUUCUAUCAUGCUUCAAUACAGCUUUAAACAGUAGAUCUAUUUUGCUCAUUCUUUUCAAAUUCUACAAGAUGGGGUCAUAGAUAUACCU